GGUUUCCGUAGGUGAACCUGCGGAAGGAUCAUUACCGAGUGAGGGCCCUCUGGGUCCAACCUCCCACCCGUGUUUAUUUUACCUUGUUGCUUCGGCGGGCCCGCCUUAACUGGCCGCCGGGGGGCUUACGCCCCCGGGCCCGCGCCCGCCGAAGACACCCUCGAACUCUGUCUGAAGAUUGUAGUCUGAGUGAAAAUAUAAAUUAUUUAAAACUUUCAACAACGGAUCUCUUGGUUCCGGCAUCGAUGAAGAACGCAGCGAAAUGCGAUACGUAAUGUGAAUUGCAAAUUCAGUGAAUCAUCGAGUCUUUGAACGCACAUUGCGCCCCCUGGUAUUCCGGGGGGCAUGCCUGUCCGAGCGUCAUUUCUGCCCUCAAGCACGGCUUGUGUGUUGGGCCCCGUCCUCCGAUCCCGGGGGACGGGCCCGAAAGGCAGCGGCGGCACCGCGUCCGGUCCUCGAGCGUAUGGGGCUUUGUCACCCGCUCUGUAGGCCCGGCCGGCGCUUGCCGAUCAACCCAAAUUUUUAUCCAGGUUGACCUCGGAUCAGGUAGGGAUACCCGCUGAACUUAAGCAUAUCAAUAA
rnacentral:rRNA from 1 species